ensembl:lncRNA
GGAGGGGGCAGUUAUCAUGGUAGUAGGUGUGAGAUCAUUAUGAAAUAUCAGAAGGUACACUCUGAAGUAGUAAGAAAUAGAUGGGGUCAGUACCAAAGCUGGUAAAGACAGAACACAAACGGCCUGCAAAUCCAACAUGCUGAAAGGAGAUGGGUAACUAGGAUAUAAAACCAAAAAUGGAGUAGAGACACUAAGGGAGGCAACAAUAACACGGAAGAUCCUGCGGUUUUAGAAAAGACCCUGAUGCUGAGGAAGAUUGAAGGCAGGAGGAGAAGAGGAUGACAAAUAAUGAGAUGGUUGGAUGACAUCACUGACUCAGUGGACAUGAGUCUGAGUGAGCCCCGGGAGAUGAUGAAGAACAGGGAAGACUGGUGUGCUGCAGUCCAUGGGAUCGCAAAGAGUCGGACGUGACUGAGCAAUUGAAAAACAGCAACAACAAUUCUGACAUAUCUCCAUCAUUAUAAUAUAAUAUAGCAUUUUUCACCACUCUGAAAAUCAUCUGUACUUCUCCUGUUCAUCUCUCCCCUACUACUCCUGGCAACUGCUGAUCAUUUUAUCAUCUCAAUAGUGUGGCUUUUUUUCCAUAACCAUAUAUCAUUGGAAUUAAAUAGUAUGUAGCCUUAUUGAAUUGGGACUCUUUUUUUUUUCCACUUAGUAAUACACAGUUAAAACUCCCCACCAUAUCUUUUCAUGGCUUUGGAGAUCAUUUUCUUUUAGUGCUGAAUAAUAUUCCAUUGUGUGAAUGUAUCACAGUUAAUCCAUUCACCUACUGAAGGAAAUCUUGGUUCCUUCCAGUUUGGGCAAUUCUGAAUAUAAGUACUAUAAUAUGUUUAUAGGUUUUUAGACAUAAACUUUCAAUUCCUCUGAGUAAAUAUCAAGAGCAUAAUUGAUGGAUCGUAUAGUAAGAUUAUAUUUAGUUUUGUGAAAACUCACUAAACUCUCUUUCACUGCAUUGCAGUAUUUAUUAUUCAAGGAUUUCUUGAACUUCUGGAUUUCUCUUUUGUGUUCUGUUGUGUCCCUGUAAUUCUCAAGUUGUCAGUUUGCUUUGUUUUUUAAACGUCUUCACUGAGCACCAAUAAAUUAAGACCAGCAGCUAUGAUUUAGGCUUGAAGUGAAGUGAUCCAGCAAAAAAAGGUAUAUUCUUGGGUAGUCAUUUAUAAGAUGGCAAAAAGUUAACCUCCAGGGAGUAGAGCAGAGAUGAGGUUGAAAUGACAUACAUGUACUAGCUCUUAUGAUCUGGUGUGUAACAUGCCAGCAUUCCUCAGACAUUCUCAGACAUCCCUAGUAGCAAAUGUAUUGAGAUAAUUAGGCUACUGUUUAUUUGUGUUGGAUAUAUAGUGGAAAUAAAAGAAAAAGUUUGAUGCUGGUGAACUAGAGAAAUUGAGAACAUUUGGUCACUUACAACUGCAAUUCGUCAACAUCUUAAUAAUGAAAUGACAAUUUUUGGAUUUCAGAGCGGAAGAAAACUGUUAAAAAG